rnacentral:tRNA from 1 species
GGAUGGGUGGCCGAGCGGUCGAAGGCGCACGCCUGGAAAGUGUGUAUGCGGUUCUCCCGCAUCGUGGGUUCGAAUCCCACCCCAUCCGCCA